AACGAACGCUGGCGGCAUGCCUAACACAUGCAAGUCGAACGAGACCUUCGGGUCUAGUGGCGCACGGGUGCGUAACGCGUGGGAACCUGCCCUUAGGUUCGGAAUAACUCCCCGAAAGGGGUGCUAAUACCGGAUAAUGUCCUCGGACCAAAGAUUUAUCGCCUUUGGAUGGGCCCGCGUUGGAUUAGCUAGUUGGUAGGGUAAAAGCCUACCAAGGCGACGAUCCAUAGCUGGUCUGAGAGGAUGAUCAGCCACACUGGGACUGAGACACGGCCCAGACUCCUACGGGAGGCAGCAGUGGGGAAUAUUGGACAAUGGGCGAAAGCCUGAUCCAGCAAUGCUGCGUGAGUGAUGAAGGCCUUAGGGUUGUAAAGCUCUUUUACCCGGGAUGAUAAUGACAGUACCGGGAGAAUAAGCUCCGGCUAACUCCGUG
rnacentral:rRNA from 1 species